rnacentral:rRNA from 1 species
UACAGAGGUCUCAAGCGUUGUUCGGAUUCAUUGGGCGUAAAGGGUGCGUAGGUGGCGCCGUAAGUCGGGUGUGAAAUUUCGGAGCUUAACUCCGAAACUGCAUUCGAUACUGCGGUGCUUGAGGACUGGAGAGGAGACUGGAAUUCAUGGUGUAGCAGUGAAAUGCGUAGAGAUCAUGAGGAAGACCAGUGGCGAAGGCGGGUCUCUAGACAGUUCCUGACACUGAGGCACGAAGGCCAGGGGAGCAAACGGG